rnacentral:misc_RNA from 1 species
GAGUAUAGCGAAUUUUGAUAACACGUGAAUAGAGUAUAUCAAUCUGGAACUCAUUACAGGUUCUACUGAAUUUCAACUUCAUAACUCCAUACAAAUACAUUACCUAUAAUUUAGUCAGGUAGAUAAUUAAUAGAUGAUGGAUCUAACUAGUACCAUAAUCUAAUAGUUCCCAUCGGAAGGGCCGGAAGACAUAGAGAACCUCGG